CAGCGCCGCGGGAAUACGAAGGGUGCAAGCGUUACUCGGAAUUACUGGGCGUAAAGCGUGCGUAGGUGGUGGUUUUAGUCCGUUGUGAAAGCCCUGGGCUCAACCUGGGAAUUGCAGUGGAUACUGGAUCACUAGAGUGUGGUAGAGGAUAGUGGAAUUUCCGGUGUAGCAGUGAAAUGCGUAGAGAUCGGAAGGAACAUCUGUGGCGAAGGCGACUAUCUGGGCCAACACUGACACUGAGGCACGAAAGCGUGGGGAGCAAACAGGAUUAGAUACCCCCGUAGUCCCUGUCUCUUAUACC
rnacentral:rRNA from 1 species